UACAGAGGUCUCAAGCGUUGUUCGGAAUCAUUGGGCGUAAAGCGCACGUAGGCGGUCUGUUAUGUCGGAUGUGAAAGCCCUUGGCUUAACUGAGGAAGUGCAUCCGAAACUGGCAGGCUAGAGUACUAAAGAGGGUCGCGGAAUUCCUGGUGUAGAGGUGAAAUUCGUAGAUAUCGGGAGGAACACCGGUGGCGAAGGCGGCGACCUGGGUAGAUACUGACGCUGAGGUGCGAAAGCGUGGGGAGCAAACAGG
rnacentral:rRNA from 1 species